AACGAACGCUGGCGGCAUGCCUAACACAUGCAAGUCGAACGAGACCUUCGGGUCUAGUGGCGCACGGGUGCGUAACGCGUGGGAACCUGCCCUUAGGUUCGGAAUAACUCCCCGAAAGGGGUGCUAAUACCGGAUAAUGUCUUCGGACCAAAGAUUUAUCGCCUUUGGAUGGGCCCGCGUUGGAUUAGCUAGUUGGUAGGGUAAAAGCCUACCAAGGCGACGAUCCAUAGCUGGUCUGAGAGGAUGACAAGCCACACUGGGACUGAGACACGGCCCAGACUCCGACGGGAGGCAGCAGUGGGGAAUAUUGGACAAUGGGCGAAAGCCUGAUCAAGCAAUGCCGCGGGAGUGAUGAAGGCCUUAGGGUUGUAAAGCUCUUUUACCCGGGAUGAUAAUGACAGUACCGGGAGAAUAAGCUCCGGCUAACUCCGUG
rnacentral:rRNA from 1 species